AGUGAACGCUGGCGGUAGGCCUAACACAUGCAAGUCGAACGGCAGCACAGUAAGAGCUUGCUCUUACGGGUGGCGAGUGGCGGACGGGUGAGGAAUACAUCGGAAUCUACUUUUUCGUGGGGGAUAACGUAGGGAAACUUACGCUAAUACCGCAUACGACCUACGGGUGAAAGCAGGGGAACUUCGGACCUUGCGCGAUUGAAUGAGCCGAUGUCGGAUUAGCUAGUUGGGGGGGUAAAGGCCCACCAAGGCGACGAUCCGUAGCUGGUCUGAGAGGAUGAUCAGCCACACUGGAACUGAGACACGGUCCAGACUCCUACGGGAGGCAGCAGUGGGGAAUAGUGGACAAUGGGCGCAAGCCUGAUCCAGCCAUACCGCGUGGGUGAAGAAGGCCUUCGGGUUGUAAAGCCCUUUUGUUGGGAAAGAAAAGCAGCAGGUUAAUACCCCGCUGUUCUGACGGUACCCAAAGAAUAAGCACCGGCUAACUUCGUG
rnacentral:rRNA from 1 species